CCUACGGGUGGCAGCAGUGAGGAAUAUUGGUCAAUGGACGCGAGACUGAACCAGCCAAGUAGCGUGCAGGAUGACUGCCCUAUGGGUUGUAAACUGCUUUUAUAAAGGGAUAAAACGCGUCACGUGUGCUGUUUUGUAGGUACCUCAUGAAUAAGGACCGGCUAACUCCGUUCCAGCAGCCGCGGUAAUACGGAAGGUCCGAGCGUUAUCCGGAUUUAUUGGGUUUAAAGGGAGCGUAGUACGGAUGUUAAGCUUGUUGUGAAAUGCUGUGGCUCAACCAUGGCAUUGCGACUGGGACUGGCAGGCUUGAGUGCGCGUAAGGUAGGCGGAAUUCGUGGUGUAGCGGUGAAAUGCUUAGAUAUCACGAAGAACCCCGAUUGCGAAGGCAGCUUACUAAACUGCGACUGACAUUGAUGCUCGAAGGUGUGGGUAUCGAACAGGAUUAGAUACCCUAGUAGUC
rnacentral:rRNA from 1 species